AUUAAAUUAAAAGAUAUGGUUAAAUUAUAAUCUCAAAUGAUGGUAGUGAGCAAAAAGGAAAGGCCAUGGCUACCUAGACAGGGAUAAGUCAGAGAAUCAGUAACACAUGUUUAUACAUCUAAAUAAGAGCUUCCAAAGUAGUAGUGGGAGAUUGAAAGCUGGGUGAUGGACAGUAGAAAAACGUCAUGAUUUGUGUUUACGUGAGCUGGACUAAUACAGCCAACAAUGAGUUUGAAUGUUUAUUCCAUUACAUAAUUUUGAGCUUGAAAAAAUAGCAUCCUCACUGGAACAAAGUAAAAUGACAGGGUUUGACUCUUUAAUGGCUUUUAAGGUCCCUUUCAGUUUUAAAAUGAUGAUCCUAUGAUCUUCUCAGCUGGUUUUCCUGUAGUAUUGUCAUGGUUAGUGAUAUUUCUUUGAGCCUUUCAGGGAAUGAUAACCUGACAUAAAGGAAAUUAAAUUAAAAAAGAUUUUGAACCACUUCUAGCCGUGUACAAUGCUUCCCUCAAAAUUAGCUUUCCCAAAGCCUCUUUGCUAUUCUUGUAGUUCCUUCCAUUAGGAGAGCCUCGGUUUUGAUAGUAACAAUACUCUAAAUUUUUUAAAAGUUGGCUUAUGAUCUUAUAAUCAAAAUAGCAAUUUAUUGUCCAGUCCUUUACAAGGAAGGAAGGCUAUCCGCAAGAAUGUCAGAUGAGGGAUUUGCCGAGGGAAAUAUCCAAAGUGGAUGAGGAACGGGGAGAAUUAUAGAGCGUGGAGUUCGGGUAACUUCACAACGAAGCAGUCUGAGGUUCAAAGCUGACUUGGGAAUCCAGGGAAAUCAGCCCAUUCAUCUUUUGCAGCUCUUCCUGCACCUCCAGCUCUCCUUUAGCAUUGUCCAAUGCAAUGCCAGCCUUUGAGGAUGACACAGGAAAGGCCAGCCUGGUCUCUCCAAAGCCCCGCAGGUGCUUGUUGCACUAGUCUUUUCACAGCAGUGAAGGGCGGUGUUUUUCCUCUUGUACCCCUCCACGGUAUAGUGGGCAGGGAAUUGGGUUACCAUGGCAACCUUCUUGCUGCCAUCCCAGGCUAGAGGGAAUGUUCCCCCAGGCUCCUCUCCAUCUGCAUGUCCUUGGCGACCUCCCUGCGGUGGCGAAGUGGGUGGGGAAGCUGCUCCUCUCCGCUGUCUGUACAGUCCUGCCGAGGCAGGGGAGGCCCGCCUCUAGGGAGCUCCCCCAGUUUAUUGAUGGUAUAAAUGGGCAGGGGAACGGCGUUGUCAUGGCAGCGACUCCUCCGAUUGUUCCGUGCGAGGAAAGGCCUGGCUCCGGGGAUCUGCCUGGUGCUCCCCAAGGCCAAUUGAGCCGGGAACUGGAUUGCCAGAGUGCCUUCCGAAGUGGCCCCAGAAAGGGGAGAAAGGGAGAGAGAGGCACUGUGUCAAAGAGCAGAGACCAAAAAAUGAUUGAAUUUGGAACUGGGCCAGCUUCCUGAGCAAAAUAAUCGGCAUUUCAAGUGAGCACAUUAAAAGACUGGCUAAUGUUCUGUGGAGGACUGUUAUUAUGGCAGAAUGGAUACAGGGACCCAGCAAACCCUUCAAGGUUCUUCUGGACAGACGCAUUGCCUUGAGCACAUGCAGGACUUUCCCAGACAGAUGAAUUCUCUGCUGGAUUUUUAAAUGCAGUUAUGAAAGUCACCAGGUGGUCUUCAGGUGGCAAGGCCACAGGGGAAAAUAAUGGUAAUCCAGCAAUGGAUUUACAAAGAAAGAAUUCUGAGAAUGAAGAACAGCUUUGGUCCAGACUGAGAAGAAGAAAUGACUCGAAAGAGAUAGAAUGUUGUUAGAAGUGAUGCUGACAAGGAUUAAGAGUGUUAAGGCUAAACUGGAGGCAGCUGAGAAUAAACUGCUAAGUAAAUCAGAGGCAUCUUUGGAAUGCUAUCUAAGUUGGAAAUGACAAAGACAAACAAGAGAGAGCUUCCUUAGAAGCUUUCAGCAGUAAUUUCUUCCUUUACCUCAGUUGACACAAGCCUUCCUUCUGUCCUCCCCUUCCUUUCCCUCUCUCCUGUCCUCCCCUCCCCUCCUUUAUUUCCCUGUCUUCCCCUCCCCUCUCCUUUUGGACAAAAUACAUCCCCUCCCCUCUCUUCUCCUUUUAUCUCCUCCCCUGUCUCCUUUCUCCUUUCCUCUUCCCAUUCCUCUUACGCCUCUCCCCUCUUUUCUACUACUCUCCCUUCCCUUCCUCUCCUCCCUCACUCCUCCUCCUUUCAUCCUCCUCCCCUACCCUCUCUUUCCCUCCUCCCCUCUCUUUCCUUUUUCCUAUCUCCUUCCUCCUGUCCCCUCACUUUUUCCCCCCUCCCCUUCUUUCCCCUCUCCUUCUCUCC